rnacentral:tRNA from 1 species
GUAUAGCUAAGUGGUAGAGCACUUGCUUAUUAGCACAAGGUCCUGGGUUCAAUCCCCAGUAC